GGAACCGUUGAUUCGCACAAU
rnacentral:snRNA from 1 species